UACGGAGGGUGCGAGCGUUUAUCGGAAUUACUGGGCGUAAAGCGCGCGUAGGCGGCUUGUUAAGUCGGAUGUGAAAUCCCCGGGCUCAACCUGGGAACUGCAUCCGAUACUGGCGAGCUGGAGUGCGAUAGAGGGGGGUAGAAUUCCUGGUGUAGCGGUGAAAUGCGUAGAUAUCAGGAGGAAUACCGGUGGCGAAGGCGGCCCCCUGGAUCGACACUGACGCUGAGGUGCGAAAGCGUGGGUAGCAAACAGG
rnacentral:rRNA from 1 species